rnacentral:rRNA from 1 species
UAAGACAGAGGGGGCAAGCGUUGCUCGGAAUCACUGGGCGUAAAGGGCGCGUAGGCGGGAUGGCAAGUCAGUCGUGAAAUCUCUCGGCUCAACCGAGAAACGUCGGCUGAUACUGCCGUUCUUGAGGGAUGCAGAGGAGACUGGAAUUCCCGGUGUAGCGGUGAAAUGUGUAGAGAUCGGGAGGAACACCGGUGGCGAAGGCGGGUCUCUGGGCAUCUCCUGACGCUGAGGCGCGAAAGCGUGGGGAGCAAACGGGAUUAGAUACCCCGGUAGUCCACGCUGUAAACGAUGACGACUAGGUGUGGGGUGGUUCAGUCCAUUCCGUGCCGCAGCUAACGCAUUAAGUCGUCCGCCUGGGGAGUACGGCCGCAAGGUUG